UUUAAAUAUCGCUCGCCGUAUCGAAAAUCCUAACCCCAAAAUCCACACAGAGCGCAACCUCUCUUAUUUACGGCAGCAGGCAAAGAAGAAGAGGAAUUAGCGAACAAUCAUGGGUAAAAUACACAGAUCACUGUCCAUGCAGGGAAGGUGAGAGGUCAAACCCAAAAACUAGCCAAGCAAGAUAAGAAGAAGAAACCUAGAGGCUGUGCCCACAAGCGCAUGCAGUACAACCGCCGCUUUGUCACUGCCGGUCAGUCUCAAUCCCUUGCUUUUAUAUUUUUAAGCUAAACAAUUUUUAGUUAUGGGGGGUAAUUAGGGUUUUGUGAUCAAUUUGAGCCUUAUAUUAGAUUAUUUUUUUCUCUUAGCGCCCGCGGUUUAGGUUCUGGUUGUUUAAGGAAGUCAUAAGGGGUUGCUAAGGCUCCAUUUUUGUGAUUAGAACGUCUGGUUGUUUCAGGAAGUCAUGAGCUUUUUCUUAGGGUUUGAGGGGUUGGAAGAAGAGGUUGCUAAGGCUCCAUUUUUGUGAUUGGAACUUUGAUUUCUUAGAGUGCUGGUCCUGGAUGUUGGUUCAUUGAUGUUACAAUCACAUUUUUUCAGUCUUUAAAAAGCUAUCGCAAAUAAAUUUCAUAGCACAGAUAGAAAUGGUAUAGAAUAAGAGACAAGGAAGUGCGUCAUGAUAUGAAUCUACUUCAUUUUUCUAUUAAAUUGCCAGCUUCAGACGAAA